rnacentral:rRNA from 1 species
AUGAAGGAGGUGGGUCAGAAGAAGAACAUCCUGGCCAAGACGCUCCAGAAGUGCCGGUCGUUGGGCCACCGGAGGCAGCCGGCAGCCUACGGCGGUGGCGGCAGCGCCAGUGCCCCGGCGUCGCCACGCGCGGCCGAUGGCAGGGCGGCGGCGUGGGCCGUGCCGGCGGGGUACUUCGCCGUGCUCGUGGGGCCGGAGAAGGAGCGGUUCGCGGUGCGCGCCAGGUGCGCGAACCACCCCCUGUUCCGGGCGCUGCUGGACGAGGCCGAGACGGAGUACGGCUUCGCCGGCUGCGCCGGCCCGCUCGAGCUGCCCUGCGCCGUCGAUGAUUUCAUGGAGGUGAUGUGGGAGAUGGAGCAGGGGGGCGGCGUCGCGUCGUCGCCCAGCUGCGCUCGCUUCGCCGGCAGGGGCCACCACCAACAACAACAGCGCCACGGGUACCACAUGUUGAGUCCGGGCACGUUCCGGUUCCUCGUCGCCGGCCGAUCGUGA